CCCCAAAUCGUAGAGAUGGCUGAUGUCUGAUUAGCUAGUUGGUAAGGUAAAAGCUUACCAAGGCGACGAUCAGUAGCUGGUCUGAGAGGACGAUCAGCCACACUGGGACUGAGACACGGCCCAGACUCCUACGGGAGGCAGCAGUGGGGAAUUUUGGACAAUGGGCGAAAGCCUGAUCCAGCCAUGCCGCGUGAGUGAAGAAGGCCUUCGGGUUGUAAAGCUCUUUCGGUCGAGAAGAAAUGUCUAUGACUAAUACUUAUAGAAAAUGACGGUAUCGACAUAAGAAGCACCGGCUAACUACGUGCCAGCAGCCGCGGUAAUACGUAGGGUGCAAGCGUUAAUCGGAAUUAUUGGGCGUAAAGGGUGCGCAGGCUGUGUUGUAAGUCAGAUGUGAAAUCCCCGGGCUUAACCUGGGAAUUGCGUUUGAAAUA
rnacentral:rRNA from 1 species